AGGAUAUCUCCCAUGGACCUUCUGGCUGAUUUUUCUCUUGUGAGAUCUGAUGUGAUCGUCAUAUGUUGUGGGUAUGUUGCCCACUCUGCAUGAGAAGGCCAACAGAGUCCUUUGAAGCCUGAGCAUCACCUUAUCCAGGUGGAACCCUUUUUGGACAUGAAUUUGCACAUGAAGAUUGCAGAUGCUUUGUACUAUUAGCAUCCAAAUGGCUCCUGCUGGGCUUUGGAAUCAGCAUCUCCUUGAAAAGUGAAGAGCCAAAGAGGAGUUGGAAAUACAGCAUUUCUCUUAUUUUAUAGUUAAUGAGUGUAUGUAUCCCCUAAGUCGAGUUAGCAGCGAGACUGUAUGUGGCUUAUUUUGGGAGCACUGUUUCUUUGAAA